rnacentral:lncRNA from 1 species
GAGAGAGGCAGGCGAGCGCGAUGAGCGCAGGAAGAAGCUGCGUCCUGCUUGCGCAAAGCGGGGCCGGAGGAGGAGCGGAGGUUCCGCGUUGUCCCAGCGAAGCAGCGAAGGCGAGGCUGGUUCGGGGUGGGCCAGAUGCAUCUGCGCCUCCUUCUCCGGGGAGAGCCACUCACCGCUUGCAAGCUCUGGCGCAGACUGGCGGGGGGGGGGAGAGGGAAGCCCCCUCGGGCCCCAGGAUGGGUCCGAGCCUAGCGCGUUCCUGCUCGCCUCUGCCCCCGCCAAGCGCCUCACGGGGAGAACAAAUGCCCAGCCCGAAGGGGUGCCAACGUGCAUCAAAUUUUGGGGGGCCCAGGUAAGUCCUUCCAUGGGCGUAGCGAAGGGGGGUGGGGGCGGGGAAAAAGCUUCCCCCAUCAAUACAAACCAAUACAGAUCUGAGGUUCUGCCCCCCCCCAUAACAAAAGCCUGCUGCCCCAACAAUAAUCCUGGCUACGCCCAUGAAUCCCACCUCGCAGAAUCGAUCACACAUUUCAGCACACAAUUGAAUGGCAAUGGCCAACCCCCUCAAAUUUUUUAUUUUUUUUAUUUUCAAAGAUCUGUAUUGAAACUUAACAUAUAUACAUAAUAACCAAAAUACCCAAUGAUUCCCUCACAUAAAGUAUAAUAUCUAAAUUACAAUAGUUGCUUAAUUCUAAAACCCACCACCCACCCUCUACUUCCCUCCACAGCAAUUCGACUUCUUUAUAUUUCUUUCUACCUUUCCCCCCUUGCAUUCUAUAAUAAAUUAUUUUUGUUAAAUUUUGAUUUUUACUUCUUUGUUUUGUUAUUGCUUACAUUUUUUUAUUCUAAGCCUAUUAACACGUCAUUUUUAGAACAAUAUUUUGACAUAUAAUCUUCGAAAUACUUCCACUCCAUUCUUAACUUUUGAUUUGAUUGAUAUCUUAUAAUUGAAGUUAAUUUUGCCAAUUCUAUAUACUCACUUAAUUUGCAAAUCCACUCUUCCUUUGUUGGUAUGUCCUGAGAUUUCCAUUUUGUGGCAAUCACUACCCUGGCAGCUGUUGUUUCAUAUAAAAAGAUGGUUUUUUUCCCAUAUGUGGUAUGUCUUUGCUCACCAACCCUAACAGAUAAGCUUCGGGAUUUUUUAUCAAGUUUUUUUUUUAAAGCAUUUUCUUAAGUUCCUCAUGUAUUAUAGUGGGGGAGGCGAAGGGACCUCACCCCCCAGGUGUUGGCUACUAUGCCAGCCCACUCUCCACAGGCACACCUGGCACAGAAAGUCCCAUGGAGGAUGCCCUGGGCUUCUGCCCCCAAGGCCUCCCUGUCUGCACAGCCCCCACAGCAGCAGGCUUGAUCUGAAGCACAGGAGCCAACUCCGAGGAGCCAAGGAGUUCUUGCUGCCCCCCCAAAAAAAUGUUUUGAGGGGGCCUCCUCCCUCCCAAAGGUGAUGAGCAUUGUCAUUCAAAUGGUAUGUGUGCACUGUGUCUUGUGAUCAAUGAUGCAGGGAGGACUUACCUAACUCACCCCCCAAAAAAUAUUUUAUUCAAGUUGGCACCCCUGAUCUGAAGGAAACAGCCUGAACUUGGACAGAAAUCCCAAGGAGCUCUGUUUACUUCAGGCUGUCCUGUAAACAGGGCUGGGUUUGUGUGCAUUUUUGGUAGGUGAUCCCAGCUGAGGAAGGCAAGUGGAUCAUCGUAACCUUACCCACCGGUCACUCCCUUUUACCUGGUUUUAUUUGUGUCAGGCUAAAACUCACCACAAAAUAUGAUUGACUACAUGGAAUUGGCAGAAAUGACUGGCAGAAUCCGAGACCAGGGAGAAGAGUCGGUGAAAGAAGACUGGAAGAAAUUUAAAGAUUAUUUACAGAAAUAUUGUAAAAUUAAGGAAUCUUAGAAGGAUGUUGGAUAGAAACUAAGUGGUUUCCAGCUGUAAUGCUUUAAGAGAUACGAAAAAAGGUUUACAAAUGGGUAAAAGCUUAAUGGUAAGGAUUUGCUGAACUAACAAACUGAACUGGAAUACAAAAAAGGGAGGUAUGAGGAGGUCCGGGGAAAUAAGUGUAAGGAAGAUAUGCUAUGGAAAGUUAACGUGUUUUUAACUGUUUUUAUCUUGUAUGUUUUUCUUUGUUUUUCUUUUUUUUUUUGUUAUAUCUUAAAAACUUUAUUCUUUUUUCUGUAUUUUGUAUUUUCUUGUAUUUUUAUUUUUUGUUUUUGUAUUCUUUGAAACUUUAAUAAAUAUCAUAAAAAAAACAACUCACCACAAAAGGGACGCGGGUGGCGCUGUGGCUUAAACCACAGAGCCUAGGACUUGCCGAUCAGAAGGUCGGCGGUUCGAAUCCCCGCGACUGGGUGAGCUCCCGUUGCUCGGUCCCUGCUUCUGCCAACCUAGCAGUUCGAAAGCACGUCAAAGUGCAAGUAGAUAAAUAGGUACCGCUCCAGCGGGAAGGUAAACGGCGUUUCCGUGCGCUGCUCUGGUUCGCCAGAAGCGGCUUAGUCAUGCUGGCCACAUGACCCAGAAGCUGUACGCCAGCUCCCUCGGCCAAUAAAGCGAGAUGAGCGCCGCAACCCCACAGUCGGUCACGACUGGACCUAAUGGUCAGGGGUCCCUUUACCUUUACCUAAAACUCACCACAGAUAUAGAAGGCAAAUUCUCCAGUUUUGUUUGUUGGCAUGGAAGAGAGGGAGUGUAGAAGCCUCGGUUUUUGGCAGGUUGAUCUCUGCUAUCUUAAAAAUGUAUCUAUAAGAGGUAAGAUUUAGGUCUUCCUCAAUGUUCUCCCUCUCCCCAUGUGUGUGUUUAAAUUAACAGCGAAAAAUGGUGAUUUGAUACUGGCUUUCAAAAUCAUUUGUUUGGGGUUUAAAAGGUCCGAUUGGAAUCCUGGUGUUUUGUGAGAUGUGCCCAAGCCUUCAUUUCCAUUCCAGGGUGGAUGUUUUUGACAACAAAAUUGUUCUCAAUAAUUCCAGGUUGCCAAGAUUUUUGGUUGGGAUUCAGUCACAGGCAAAUUCAGCUUUGCCAAUUAAGGUUGGUUUGGAGCUCUUACUACAAACCGAUCUGAAAGCUGUUUGAUUAGUAAGUUCACAAAUUUAUGUCCGAAAUGCGAAUAAGUAGACCAGGCAUUGCUAAUGUUGGACUACGGUUCCCAUCUUCCUUGACCAUUCAUCAUGCUGACUGCAACUGGUGGGACUGAAGUUCACACUUUUGGAUCCCCCAUAAGCAGUGCCAGAUUUAAGUAUAAACCAAACAAGCUAUAGCUUAGGGCCCCACUCUCUUGUCCCCCCCCCCCUGAAAAAAAAAUUAAAGGAAAAAAACCUGGAUGUACUUUGAUAAAAUACGUAUUUUGUUAUGUGCAAAUGGCUUUAGAUACCUAUUAGGUCCAUAAAUUACCAUAUAGCAUAUAUUCAACACAAAAAAACAGUGACCAUUUGGUUGUUGAAAAAGGACAGCUGGACAUAGAAAGGGCCCCAUUCAUUACCUUGGUAGUUUUGGUCCUCAUCCAACCUAAAUCCGUUGGUACUCCUCAUGCAAGAGAGAGUCCUGACACUCUGCCAGAACAUCACUCCCCUCUCUUUAAGUCGGGCAGAAACUUCCUGGGUUUUGGGAAGGAGGUAAGAGGCUCUGAUUUGGGGAGAAAAACGUGCCAGGACUGCACAUACCACCAGAAAAAAGCAUCGCCCAUUACAACCCAACAUUCCACAUACACAGUUUGGCAGGACGUUAAAUUCAGAAUGCUUUUCCUUUGUCAGGAAAGCAGCACUGGCUGCUGCUUGUGGAUACUGUUGUACCCAAGUGGGCAAAAAUACAGAUGUGGCCCUUAAAUUACUUAUGGGCUGAGGGUGCUCUGCUUUUCCAAAGAGCCUAGUUCAUAGUCACAGAACCUCUGGCUCUCCAUUUCCUAUUGACCACACUGGCUGGAGCUGAGAGGAGGUGGAGUCUGACCAUCUCUGGAGAGCCACAGGUUCCCUCUGCCUGCUCUCAUUCAACAAUACUGGCAAGCUGAGCAACUUUGAAAUGGGCACUGGAAGGUGACCGUGAAUUCAGUGAGGCAUCACUGGACCUCAGACUUUGCCAGAUUCAACAUAAACAUUUUGCUCUGCCUCCUAUUCACGUUCUCAUUUUAUGUAUAUAUAUUCUUCAUUGAAAGAUAAAAAGUAAUAUAAAAUUGUAAGUGCACAGGGUUAAAAAAAAUGUGAAAAGGUGGGGGGGGGGGGAGAAAACAAGGACAAAGGAAAACAACAACUCCAACACAACCUUAAUUCAGAGGGUGAAUGUUGUGGCAUCCCAUAAAUGGUUGCUGAGUUUUGGCACGAACUGGAGCACUGUAUUAAUUUUGUGUUCAUCAAUAUAACCGCCGUUUAAUAAUUUGGCACUGUGUUAAAUUCUAAAUACGAAAUGCAAUGGGUUUAAUGGACUUCACUGGCAGCAAAAGCAAUUCAUGGUACACCACUGGAAGGUUAACCACUCUCUUGCUACUAAGAUAGUUCUAUUUGUAUUUUAAUCCAUUGUUUUUAUACCUGGUGUUAGCCGCCCUGAGCCCGGUCUUAGCUGGGGAGGGAGGGGUAUAAAUAAAAUUUAUUAUUAUUAUUAACACACAGCCAAGCCGUUGGCACAGGGAGUGCUGGAGCUCAGUCUGCCUUCUUGAAACACAAGAAAUACUUCUGAGACUUCCAUUUUUAGUUGGCCCUCAAUCAGCAUAGAUGGGCAGUGGUGGAGCUGUACCAUUGUAAGAACCAACCAAACUGUCACAAAAUGUAACAGGCUUUCAAAUUCCCAAGAAGUGUCCUUUUGGCAGAAAUUUGUAGGUUUCUGCUGAAACUGCUGUUCUUCCAUUUGUUCUGGAACGAGGUUUUUCUGGCUGCAUACACACCACACAUUGAAAGCCAUAGCUGUCAACAUUUCCCUUUUUUUAAGGGAAAUUCCCUUAUUCCGAAUAGGAUUCCUCACAAGAAAAGGGAACAGUUGACAGCUAUGUUUAAAGCACACACACAUUCUCCAAUUAAUCCCAGGAACUGUCGCUUUCCUCUCACAGAGCUACAAUUCCCAGACACCCUUUACAAAAAAAAAAAUACAGUUCUCAAGAUUCUUUUUGGGGAGUGUUUUAAAUGCUUGAUGAUGUGUCUGCCACCUCUCACUUGAUAAAAACCAUAGAUUUUAUCAAAGUUUUAAAAAGAUAUACAAAAGUUAGUAUGCCACAACAGCAGCAAGAAUACUCAUCGCAAAGUAUUGGAAGACACAAGAUCUACCCACUUUGGAAGAAUGGCAGAUGAAGGUGAUGGACUAUAUGGAAUUGGCAGAAAUGACUGGCAGAAUCCGAGACCAGGGAGAAGAGUCGGUGGAAGAAGAUUGGAAGAAAUUUAAAGACUAUUUACAGAAAUAUUGUAAAAUUAAUGAAUGAUAGAAUGAUGUUGGAUAGUAAUUGAGCGGUUUCCAGCUGUAAUGUUCUAAGAGAAAAAAGGGUUAUAAAUGGGUUAAAAUCUAAUGGUAAGGAUUUGCUGAACCAAUAAAUUGAAGUGGAAUACAAAAAAGGGAGGUACGAGGAGGUCCGGGAAACAAGCUAAAGGAAAAUAAGUAAUAGAAAAUAUGUGUGUUUUUAACUGUUUUUAUUUUGUAUUUUUCUUUUUCAUUUUCACUGUAAUAUUUCAAAAAACCUUAAUAAAUAUCUUAUU